AACGGUCUAUACCUGCGGUACCUGCGGAAGGAUCAUUACCGAGUUAUCAACUCCCAAACCCCUGUGAACAUACCCGAACGUUGCCUCGGCGGGACCGCCCCGGCGCCCCUAGCGGCCCGGAACCAGGCGCCCGCCGGAGGACCCAAACUCUUGCUUUAAACAGUGGCAUACUCUCUGAGUCUCCCAAACAAAAAAUAAAUCAAAACUUUCAACAACGGAUCUCUAGAUCGGAAGAGCACA
rnacentral:misc_RNA from 1 species